rnacentral:rRNA from 1 species
UAGAGCUGGCUCAGAUUGAACGCUGGCGGCAGGCCUAACACAUGCAAGUCGAGCGGCAGCACGGGUACUUGUACCUGGUGGCGAGCGGCGGACGGGUGAGUAAUGCCUAGGAAUCUGCCUGGUAGUGGGGGAUAACGCUCGGAAACGGACGCUAAUACCGCAUACGUCCUACGGGAGAAAGCAGGGGACCUUCGGGCCUUGCGCUAUCAGAUGAGCCUAGGUCGGAUUAGCUAGUUGGUGAGGUAAUGGCUCACCAAGGCGACGAUCCGUAACUGGUCUGAGAGGAUGAUCAGUCACACUGGAACUGAGACACGGUCCAGACUCCUACGGGAGGCAGCAGUGGGGAAUAUUGGACAAUGGGCGAAAGCCUGAUCCAGCCAUGCCGCGUGUGUGAAGAAGGUCUUCGGAUUGUAAAGCACUUUAAGUUGGGAGGAAGGGCAGUUACCUAAUACGUAAUUGUUUUGACGUUACCGACAGAAUAAGCACCGGCUAACUCUGUGCCAGCAGCCGCGGUAAUACAGAGGGUGCAAGCGUUAAUCGGAAUUACUGGGCGUAAAGCGCGCGUAGGUGGUUCGUUAAGUUGGAUGUGAAAUCCCCGGGCUCAACCUGGGAACUGCAUUCAAAACUGUCGAGCUAGAGUAUGGUAGAGGGUGGUGGAAUUCCUGUGUAGCGGUAAAUGCGUAGAUAUAGGAAGGAACACCAGUGGCGAAGGCGACCACC